CAAAGUUAAACUCUCACGUUACUCAAAAAAAAUGAAAUUAUACCAUUUUUAGACAUAUAAUAUCAUUGUGGAAAUUACAAACUAACCUGUAACAGCUUUUAAGGUAGAUCUAUUCAGGUUUUCUUCUCUUGCCUCCUGACUUAGUCCUUGCCAUUCUUGUAUUACUUUUUCACAGUUUCCUCCAGGUCUUCUGGGGCAUUUAUAAGGUAUCUCUUUCCAGAUAGACUCUACUAGAGUCUAUUUCACUUGGCAUGAAAUGUUGAAAUACUCACUGAAGUGAGGACUGGAGCAUAGACUUCACCCUUCUAUAUACACGUCUCUUCUGUUUUACAAUUCUUCAUUCUGCUUAAUGAAUAUUUACUGUUUUCUGUGAAGGGAAAUGGUUUAAUAA